rnacentral:rRNA from 1 species
AAUUCGCCCUUAGAGUUUGAUCAUGGCUCAGCGCGAACGCUGUCGGCGUGCCUAACACAUGCAAGUCGUGGGGCAGCAGGCCGGUUCCUUCGGGAACUGGUGCUGGCGACCGGCGAACGGGUGAGUAACGCGUGAGCAACCUACCCCGAGGAGGGGGAUAACCCGGGGAAACCCGGGCUAAUACCCCAUAAGCGCACGGCUCGCAUGAGCUGUGUGCAAAGGGUGGCCUCUGCAUAGCAAGCUGCCGCCUCGGGAUGGGCUCGCGUCCCAUCAGGUAGUUGGUGGGGUAACGGCCUACCAAGCCUACGACGGGUAGCUGGUCUGAGAGGAUGGCCAGCCACACCGGGACUGAGACACGGCCCGGACUCCUACGGGAGGCAGCAGUGGGGAAUCUUGGGCAAUGGGCGCAAGCCUGACCCAGCGACGCCGAGUGGAGGAAGAAGCCCUUCGGGGUGUAAACUCCUGUCGCCGGGGACGAGGCGGGUCGGGGUGAAUAGCCCCGGCCCGUGACGUAGC